rfam:TPA: Bos taurus chromosome X, whole genome shotgun sequence.
UCCCUAGUAGCUCAGUGGCAAAGAAUCUGCCUGCCAAUGCAGGGGACACAGGUUCAAUCUCUGGUCUAGGGAG